UCCUCUGUAGUUCAGUCGGUAGAACGGCGUACUGUUAAUCCGUAUGUCACUGGUUCGAGUCCAGUCAGAGGAGCCA
rnacentral:tRNA from 2 species